rnacentral:rRNA from 1 species
GAUGAACGCUGGCGGCGUGCCUAACACAUGCCAGUCGAGCGGAAAGGCCCAGCUUGCGUCGGGUGCCAGAGUGGCAAAGGGGUGAGAAACACGGGAGUAACCUGCCCUUGACUGUGGAAUGACUUGAGAAAACUGGGGAUAAUGCCGGAUAGGAGCGCCUGCAGCAUGGGGGGGGUUGGAAAGUUUCGGAGGUUGGGGAUGGACUCGCGGCUUAUCAGCUUGUUGGGUGGGUAGUGGCCAACCAAGGCUUCGACGGGUAGCCGGCCUGGGAGGGGGAACGGCGACAAUGGGACUGAGAGACGCACCAGACUCCAACGGGAGGCAGUGGUGGAGAAUAUUGCACAACGAGCGGAAGCGUGAUGCGACGACGCCGCGUGCGGGAAGACGGCCUUCGUGUUGUGAAGCGCAGUCGGCUGUGACGAAGCGUUAGUGACGGUACUGGGUGAAGAAGCACCGGCUAACUACGUG